rnacentral:rRNA from 1 species
GACGAAGGAUGCAAGCGUUAUCCGGAUUCAUUGGGUUUAAAGGGAGCGUAGGUGGCCUUAUAAGUCAGCGGUGAAAUCUCUGGGCUUAACCCAGAAAUUGCCAUUGAUACUGUAGGGCUUGAGUACAGUUGCUGUGGGCGGAAUAUGACAUGUAGUGGUGAAAUACGUAGAGAUGUCAUAGAACACCGAUUGCGAAGGCAGCUCACAAAACUGUAACUGACACUGAGGCUCGAAAGUGCGGGGAUCAAACAGG